GGGGGUGUAACGGAUUCGACGGGAUGCGUACUAUUGCAGGCUGCAUGCCGAGACUGACCGAUGGAUCUCGUAAAUAACCCAUCAUGGAUAAAAAGUAGUUGACAACAAUUACUCAUACCGACUGGCUGCGUAAAGCAAGCCGUCCGUUCUCUC
rnacentral:tmRNA from 1 species